rnacentral:ncRNA from 1 species
UUCUUCAGGGCAGGGUGAAAUUCCCGACCGGCGGUACAGUCCGCGAGCGCGCAAGCGUUGAAUCGGUGCAACUCCGAUACCGACAGUAAAGUCUGGAUGAAAGAAGAA